AUUGAACGCUGGCGGCAGGCCUAACACAUGCAAGUCGAGCGAGUGGCGGACGGGUGAGUAAUAUCUGGGGAUCUGCCCGAUCGAGGGGGAUAACUACUGGAAACGGUGGCUAAUACCGCAUACUAUCGGAUGAACCCAUCUGGGAUUAGCUAGUAGGUGGGGUAAAGGCUCACCGAGGCGACGAUCUCUAGCUGGUCUGAGAGGAUGAUCAGGAACACUGGGACUGUGACACGGCCCAGACUCCUACGGGAGGCAGCAGUGGGGAAUAUUGGACAAGGGGCGCAAGCCUGAUGCAGCCAUGCCGCGUGUAUGAAGAAGGCCUUAGGGUGGUAAAGUACUUUCAGCGGGGAGGCGUUACCCGCAGAAGAAGCACCGGCUAACUCCGUGCCAGCAGCCGCGGUAAUAC
rnacentral:rRNA from 1 species